rnacentral:rRNA from 1 species
GAUGAACGCUGGCGGCGUGCCUAAUACAUGCAAGUCGAGCGAACAGACGAUGAGCUUGCUCCUCUGACGUUAGCGGCGGACGGGUGAGUAACACGUGGAUAACCUACCUAUAAGACUGGGAUAACUUCGGGAAACCGGAGCUAAUACCGGAUAAUAUAUUGAACCGCAUGGUUCAAUAGUGAAAGACGGUUUUGCUGUCACUUAUAGAUGGAUCCGCGCCGCAUUAGCUAGUUGGUAAGGUAACGGCUUACCAAGGCAACGAUGCGUAGCCGACCUGAGAGGGUGAUCAGCCACACUGGAACUGAGACACGGUCCAGACUCCUACGGGAGGCAGCAGUAGGGAAUCUUCCGCAAUGGGCGAAAGCCUGACGGAGCAACGCCGCGUGAGUGAUGAAGGUCUUCGGAUCGUAAAACUCUGUUAUUAGGGAAGAACAAAUGUGUAAGUAACUAUGCACGUCUUGACGGUACCUAAUCAGAAAGCCACGGCUAACUACGUG